GUAGGUGGCAAGCGUUGUCCGGGAAUUAUUGGGGCGUAAAGCGCGCGCAGGCGGUUCUCUAAGUCUGAUGUGAAAGCCCACGGGCUCAACCGUGGAGGGUCAUUGGAAACUGGAGAACUUGAGUACAGAAGAGGAAAGCGGAAUUCCACGUGUAGCGGUGAAAUGCGUAGAGAUGUGGAGGAACAUCAGUGGCGAAGGCGGCUUUCUGGUCUGUAACUGACGCUGAGGCGCGAAAGCGUGGGGAGCAAACAGGAUUAGAUACCCUGGUAGUCCACGCCGUAAACGAUGAGUGCUAAGUGUUAGGGGGUUUCCGCCCCUUAGUGCUGCAGCUAACGCAUUAAGCACUCCGCCUGGGGAGUACGGCCGCAAAGGCUG
rnacentral:rRNA from 1 species